rnacentral:rRNA from 1 species
CCUACGGGAGGCAGCAGUAGGGAAUAUUGCUCAAUGGGGGAAACCCUGAAGCAGCAACGCCGCGUGGAGGAUGAAGGUCUUCGGAUUGUAAACUCUUUUUGUUAGAGAAGAUAAUGACGGUAUCUAACGAAUAAGCACCGGCUAACUCCGUGCCAGCAGCCGCGGUAAUACGCAGGGUGCAAGCGUUAUUCGGAAGCACUGGGCGUAAAGAGCGCGUAGGCGGGAUAGCAAGUCAGAUGUGAAAGCCUAUGGCUUAACCAUAGAACUGCAUUUGAAACUGUUAUUCUAGAGUAUGGGAGAGGUAGGUGGAAUUCGUGGUGUAGGGGUAAAAUCCGUAGAGAUCAAGAGGAAUACUCAUUGCGAAGG